rnacentral:rRNA from 1 species
UACGUAGGUGGCAAGCGUUGUCCGGAUUUAUUGGGUUUAAAGGGUGCGUAGGCGGCCCCCUAAGUCAGUGGUGAAAUACGGCAGCUUAACUGUCGAGGUGCCAUUGAUACUGGGGGGCUUGAGUACUGAUGAGGUAGGCGGAAUUGACGGUGUAGCGGUGAAAUGCUUAGAUAUCGUCAAGAACACCGAUAGCGAAGGCAGCUUACUAAGGAGUAACUGACGCUGAGGCACGAAAGUGCGGGGAUCAAACAGG